rnacentral:misc_RNA from 1 species
AACUGAUAAACUCCGAUACACAUUCUUGUACGGUUUCUUUAGCAUCUUUAGCAAUCUUCCCAUUAGCAGGAAGAGCCUUCUUCAUGAUCCUGCUAAUAUUCGCAAUAGGAAGAAACCUAUCCUGUUCACGAACAUUAGACCUCGGACUCUGCUCGCCGCUCUCAUGGCUUCCUCCGCCGGGACUCGCCGGAGCAUCAGCCAUCCUUCACCAAAACCCUAUAUGCGAAACAACAUCGUCAAUCCCAGAGAAACGAACAAAAUAAACAAAACCCAUGAACAGGACCAGAAAACGCAAAGUCCAGAAGA